GAUUAGUGGCGAACGGGUGAGUAACACGUGGGCAAUCUGCCCUUCACUCUGGGACAAGCCCUGGAAACGGGGUCUAAUACCGGAUAUGACCGGGAUCGCAUGGUCUCCGUGNUGGAAAGCUCCGGCGGUGAAGGAUGAGCCCGCGGCCUAUCAGCUUGUUGGUGAGGUAGUGGCUCACCAAGGCGACGACGGGUAGCCGGCCUGAGAGGGCGACCGGCCACACUGGGACUGAAGACACGGCCCANACUCCUACGGGGAGGCAGCAGUGGGGAAAUAUUGCACAAUGGGCGAAAGCCUGAUGCAGCGACGCCGCGUGAGGGAUGACGGCCUUCGGGUUGUAAACCUCUUUCAGCAGGGAAAGAAGCGAGAGUGACGGUACCUGCAAAAGAAGCGCCGGCUAACUACGUGCCAGCAGCCGCGGUAAUACGUAGGGCGCGAGCGUUGUCCGGAAUUAUUGGGCGUAAAGAGCUCGUAGGCGGCUUGUCACGUCGGNAUGUGAAAGCCCGGGGCUUAACCCCGGGUCUGCAUUCGAUACCGGCAGGCUAGAGUUCGGUAGGGGAGAUCGGAAUUCCUGGUGUAGCGGUGAAAUGCGCAGAUAUCAGGAGGAACACCGGUGGCGAAGGCGGAUCUCUGGGCCGAUACUGACGCUGAGGAGCGAAAGCGUGGGGANCGAACAGGAUUAGAUACCCUGGUAGUCCACGCCGUAAACGUUGGGAACUAGGUGUGGGCNACAUUCCACNUCNUCCGUGCCNCANCUAACGCAUUAAGUUCCCCNCCUGGGGAGUACGGNCCGCAAGNGCUAAACUCAAAGGAAUUGACGGGGGCCCGCACAAGCGGCGGAGCAUGUGGCUUAAUUCGACGCAACGCGAAGAACCUUACCAAGGCUUGACAUACACCGGAAAGCAUUAGAGAUAGUGCCCCCCUUGUGGUCGGUGUACAGGUGGUGCAUGGCUGUCGUCAGCUCGUGUCGUGAGAUGUUGGGUUAAGUCCCGCAACGAGCGCAACCCUUGUCCCGUGUUGCCAGCAGGCCCUUGNUGGNNUGCUGGGGACUCACGGGAGACCGCCGGGGUCAACUCGGAGGAAGGUGGGGACGACGUCAAGUCAUCAUGCCCCUUAUGUCUUGGGCUGCACACGUGCUACAAUGGCCGGUACAAUGAGCUG
rnacentral:rRNA from 1 species